GCAGAAUCCACGCAUUGUAGGGCGGCCAUUGUGAGGUGAGGGUCGGUCCAGAGAUGCCACAUGGGUCUAGUGAUCUUUGAGGUGUUCAUCACCAAGUGUGGAAUCAUCUUAUACCUACUGCAGGAUGCUGAGACAACACAACCAGUCCCUUGAUGGGAACAACAGUAGCUGUUGCAAAGUUAUCUUCUGUACACAUCCAAAUAUAAACAGGUGACAGAGCAAAGCUAUUGGCAAAGGCAGGACAUCCAGCUUAUUCGGGUUCUGUUAGUCAGGUCUUAAAGUAUUACAGCUGUCAAGCCUCUUGGAAACCCAGACUUCGGGGACUGUGCCUCUGGCUCAGUAGGGGCUUGUUCAGCUAAGUUAGAUGGGUUUGCUGGAUGUCAAGGCCACAAAUAAUGUUAAGUUCCUUUUGCUCUUGUUCCUGAUGGUACUUUGCCUCAGCCCGACCUAGAGAUGAUCCCGGUAAACUACUGCCAAUAUUGUUGUUCUCCGCUUGUUUUCUUCCUCGUACGCCUCGCUGGCAGUAGCCACUUUUUCUGCAUUGUAGUCUGAUCAGUGUCUGGGAUAUAAAGUAAAUAUGGGUUAUACAGUAGUAACACCAACCCUGUCCUAACAUCUGGAGUGGUGAUUCCGCCUUAAAUGUUCCAGAAGCCUAAAUCCAGAGAACACUUCAUUUAUGUAUUCACUGAAUUUAAAACAAGAGGUAUAUAAAACUGAAGCAUGCGCAAUUUUGGCAUAUACUGAUACCCCGAACAAUCCUCUGUGGGGGAGAUCAAAUCUGAUGCUUCCCUUAGAAACUUGUACUUCAUAGAACGCACCCGCAACUUCUGAAAUUGGUAAAAAAAACACGGAAUGGAUAUUUCGGGAUGCCGUUUCUGCGUAACGGGUCUCCUCGGUAUUCCAGACCUUCCCUUAAAGUUGAGAUUUCCCCACCCUCGUUGGGUCUGUACAUACUCAUUUCAGGGUAUGCAGCGCAGUGCUGACCCUGACCUCUUUUUGUUCAUGUUCAACAGCCCGAAAAAUUAACAUGCAAUUUUGAAAAGUAUAUUUUUGAAUGUUUGUAGCAUUGUGCUCUGACUUUUUUUCUUUUCCUAUUAAAUAAUCAUUGUAAAAUAACAUUGUUAUACAAGAAUGAGAUUUUGUUAAAGUUGGGUACCAAAGUUUCAAGCAACAUACGUGGUACAACAGCAUGUUUUGUUUGUUGGCCUCCUCUUCCUCUA